rnacentral:rRNA from 1 species
CAGCCGUAAACAAUGUGCGUUAGGUGUGUCGGUAACCACGCGUUACUGAUGCGCCGAAGAGAAAUCGUGAAACGCACCACCUGGGAAGUACGGUCGCAAGGCUGAAACUUAAAGGAAUUGGCGGGGGAGCACCACAACAGGUGGAGCCUGCGGUUUAAUUGGAUUCAACGCCGGACAUCUCACCGGAUAAGACAGCUGAAUGAUCGUCAAUCUGAAGGUUUUACAUGACUAGCUGAGAGGAGGUGCAUGGCGUCAGUGACU